rnacentral:sRNA from 1 species
CAAAGUCAAAAUUGUACUUUUUUAUGUCUCCACCCAUUCCCAAUCAAAAUUGAAAAAUAGUCAUUUUAAAAUAUUAGGCUUCAAAAAUUUCAUAUAGAUCGGACUAUACGCUCCGAAGUUAAUCAAGCAUGCAUUUCUUUUGGUGUGGGUCUUAGUUUUGCUUUUUGUUUUUGCUAUUGCUGUUCAUCAACUGUUUGUCGCUUCAACUGGCAGGCGGGCGGUCGCUCAAGACGACACUUAAUUAUGUUUUGCGUUUGCAGCGGCAGGACCAAGUUUCUCCAAGUGCAAGAAAAAUUGCUGGAAAAUGUCAAAAUGAUUUCCGCCCGUUGUUCAAAGCUGGGCAUCAUAAAUUAUUGAAAUUGCCCGUCUGUCAUAGCCAUAGUUGCCUGUUUCACUCUAUUGUGUUUGAGUUUUCUGCAAUGCUUAAGCUUUAUUUCUCUUU